rnacentral:tRNA from 1 species
GGAGGAAUACCCAAGCUGGCUGAAGGGAUCGGUCUUGAAAACCGACAGGCUGUAAAAGGCGCGGGGGUUCGAAUCCCUCUUCCUCCGCCA